GUUUGAUCCUGGCUCAGGAUGAACGCUGGCGGCGUGCUUAACACAUUCAAGUCGAACGAAGAAUUAGGGUAACUCUAAUUUUUAGUGGCGGACGGGUGAGUAAUACAUGGGCAACCUGCCUCUAAGAGGGGAAUAACAUUGGGAAACCGGUGCUAAUACCGCAUAAAACGAAACUAUGGCAUCAUAGAUUCGGCAAAGGAGAAAUCCGCUUAGAGAUGGGCUCAUGUCUGAUUAGAUAGUUGGUAAGGUAACGGCUUACCAAGUCUGCGAUCAGUAGCCGGACUGAGAGGUCGAACGGCCACAUUGGAACUGAGAUACGGUCCAGACUCCUACGGGAGGCAGCAGUGGGGAAUAUUGGGCAAUGGGCGAAAGCCUGACCCAGCGACGCCGCGUGAGGGAAGAAGGUCUUCGGAUUGUAAACCUUUGUAAGCAGGGACGAACAAAAAUGACGGUACCUGCAAAGUAAGCCACGGCUAACUACGUGCCAGCAGCCGCGGUAAUACGUAGGUGGCGAGCGUUAUCCGGAAUUACUGGGUGUAAAGGGUGAGUAGGCGGGGCAACAAGUCAGAUGUGAAAUA
rnacentral:rRNA from 1 species